GAUAGUGAAUUCGCGACACAUUUUAGCUUCUCUGACCCAAAUCGAACCGGAACGACGGUAUCCGGAUUAGGGACAGCCCUAACCCUAAAUUGAACGGAGUUGUGUCUUCUUCGCUGUCACUCUUUUGCUUUGUGCGAGAAACAAAGACGAAAUGGGGGCGCGUGGAGUAGGAAGCGAAUCUACGUGCAAUCGUUGCACGGCUAUACCAAAAUUAAAUUUUUUAUUUUUAAAAUAUGAAUAAAAAAUUAAUUUUACAAAUUAUUAUAUGAGUCACC
rnacentral:lncRNA from 1 species